rnacentral:rRNA from 1 species
UACGUAGGGGGCAAGCGUUGUCCGGAAUCAUUGGGCGUAAAGAGCGUGUAGGCGGCCAGAUAAGUCCGCUGUGAAAUCUCGAGGCUCAACUUCGAGCUGUCGGUGGAAACUGUCUGGCUAGAGUCCGGAAGAGGAGAAUGGAAUUCCUGGUGUAGCGGUGAAAUGCGCAGAUAUCAGGAGGAACACCGAUGGCGAAGGCAGCUCGCUGGGACGGUACUGACGCUGAGGCGCGAAAGCGUGGGGAGCAAACAGG